rnacentral:rRNA from 1 species
UACGGAGGGUGCGAGCGUUGUCCGGAAUCACUGGGCGUAAAGGGCGCGUAGGCGGCUUGGCAAGUGGAAGGUGAAAUCCCUCGGCUUAACCGAGGAACUGCCCUCCAAACUGCUUUGCUUGAGGCCGGGAGAGGCGAGUGGAAUUCCCAGUGUAGCGGUGAAAUGCGUAGAUAUUGGGAGGAACACCAGUGGCGAAGGCGGCUCGCUGGACCGGUUCUGACGCUGAGGCGCGAAAGCGUGGGGAGCAAACGGG